AGGGCUGGGCACCCGCAGAGCCAGGGAGGCUUCAGAAAGAUGAUGCAGUCUCACCUGCAGCCUACAAUGGAAAGAUCUGGAUGCCCUCCCCAAGGUUUUCUAAAUGAUAGAUAUCAUGUAAUCAGCCCAGAGGACGAGCUCUGUCAGCCUUACUUGUGGACAUGUUUACGUAAGCUGCUUCUGACUCAAAUGUAAGCUACCGGGUUCAUAAAAGGGUGCCAGGAUAUGCCACCCCAACAUAGGUCACUUUGGCAUAACAAUUACUUCAUGCUAAAGGCACUUGCAAAACUGCAGAUACAAGAAGGGCAUUCCAGUGCACGCCUGUGGUCACAGCUGUGGGAGAGGCUGAGGCACGAGGAUCACUUGAGCCCAGGAGUUCGAGAUUACAGUGGACAAUGAUCAGGUCAUGCACUCCAAAGCCUUGGCAAGAGUGUGAGAUCCUGUCUCUAAAAAAA